rnacentral:lncRNA from 1 species
GCUGAAACACUCACUUUAUUGUUGACUGAUUGAAGUUUAUUGGUGCUUAAGGUGCUGAAAUACUGAGGUGCUAAUCAGGAACCUUGUAUGUGUCAGAUCCUACUGGCUAAUUCACAUGAAGGUUUUACCUCUUGCCAUUCUGCCCAAGUCACUGAUGACAGCUUUAGUUGAUAGACACCAGGCAUGUGAAUAUAGCAGGAGAUCCAGCUCCCUGGUUUGUUGUAUACAUAUAAAAGUUUGGAAAGCCUAUCAAGGCAUUUCAUUAAUUAAGCCUUAAAACCACUGAAACCAAACCUAUGCCAAGGUUCCCACUUGACACAUGUUCCUCCAAAGAUAUUAUCUCUUUCAAUAAUAUAAAGCUAAGAAAAGCACAUUGAAGGGAAUGAGUAUCACCUGCACAGUUUACCAGCUCUUCAGCAUGACAGAGAACAAAAAAAUUCCUUCAUUAGGAAACUGGGUCAGUCUUCUUUUCACAUACUCUUCCAAAAUAUACAGCAUGGCCAAAAGAUACAGAUGUCUUGAUAAUUUGUUCACUUUAAGCCUUGCUAAUAAAAAAAAAAAUAAAUACCCAUCACAUGGACAUGAAUUAGUCUAAUCACUUGGAUCAGACAGAUCACUUUUUAGAAUCUACUUUCAUAUAUAAAUUGAGUUACUGCAGACCUCACCCUUUUGGGGGGAAAAAAAAAAGCUAGGCCUCUGUAACACUUCCUAGGCUUGACUUCACUGGGGAAGCACAAUGAAAUACAAUAUGACAAGAGCUGUAACAUCCACAGUGGCUGGUAUAGUAAUUAUGUCCUAUCAUUAAGUGUCUUUUUUUAUUAGUUUCAUAUUCUCAGGCUUUCCUUUGUAUCUGCAGUGCAUAUUAGGAAAAUAGAAGCAGAAUAAAGUACUAGUCAAUUUAAAAGACUUUAAAUCAGAAAGUCUCUUGUUGUCAUUGGAUGGGCAAGCAAGGGAUUAACCACAGAACUGGACAUCCAAGAUGUCCUCUCCUUAAAACCAAUCCCACAAUACUACUACUCAAAUUAAGAAUCCUUUAGAGGGGAUAAGAAAAAAAUUUUAUAGUCUAUCCCACUAUUCAAAAUUGUGUAUGAAAUUUAAGCCAGAUACAAACUAUUAAAAAACAUCAGAGCAUAGCUUCUGCUAAAUGACAAC